ACGGUUGACCUCGGAUCAGGUAGGAAUACCCGCUGAACUUAAGCAUAUCAAUAAGCGGAGGAA
rnacentral:rRNA from 2 species